rnacentral:ncRNA from 2 species
GGUAUGCUGACGCGGUCAGGUCAAGGGAAUCCGGUGAGAGGCCGGAACUGACGCGCAGCGGUAUGGCGGACCUGCACCGGCCCGGAGACGGGUCGACCACUGGUGGCGUGCCUCGGCACGCGGCCGGGAAGGCUCCGGUGCAGGGAUGAGGCCGAGUCCGAAGACCACCUGACGACAUCUGUUCAG